UCCUGGAUAGUGCAGUGGUUAACACAUCUGCCUAGUAAGUAGAAGAUUCUGGGUUCGAAUCCCAAUCCGGUAG